rnacentral:rRNA from 1 species
GACGAACGCUGGCGGCGUGCUUAACACAUGCAAGUCGAGCGGUAAGGCCCUUUCGGGGGUACACGAGCGGCGAACGGGUGAGUAACACGUGGGUGACCUGCCCUCAGCUCUGGGAUAAGCCUGGGAAACCGGGUCUAAUACCGGAUAUGACUCCAUGACGCAUGUUGUGGGGUGGAAAGCCUUGUGCGGCUGAGGAUGGGCCCGCGGCCUAUCAGCUUGUUGGUGGGGUGANGGCCUACCAAGGCGACGACGGGUAGCCGGCCUGAGAGGGCGACCGGCCACACUGGGACUGAGACACGGCCCAGACUCCUACGGGAGGCAGCAGUGGGGAAUCUUGCGCAAUGGGCGAAAAGCCUGACGCAGCGACGCCGCGUGAGGGAUGACGGCCUGG